CAAUAAUUCGUGAGCAAGAUAGAAUUUGCUAUGUUUGAAAGUUGUGGCUUCUAAGAAACGAAGCAAUUAUUUUUAAGGAAAUAAAAAGAAAUAUUAUAUAUGAUAAUCAAAAUAUUUCGGCUGGCUGUAAAUUUGUAAAUAGACCUGCACCACCAAUAUUGCGGAAUUACUAGAAAGAUGAUCAUAAAUUUAUAGUAGUGUAUUUUU
rnacentral:lncRNA from 1 species